UGGGGAAUCUUGCGCAAUGGGCGAAAGCCUGACGCAGCGACGCCGCGUGAGUGAUGAAGGCCUUCGGGUUGUAAAGCUCUGUGGGUGGAGACGAAUAAGUGUAAGCUAAUACCUUACAUGAUGACGGUAUCCACUUAGCAAGCACCGGCUAACUCUGUGCCAGCAGCCGCGGUAAGACAGAGGGUGCAAACGUUGUUCGGAAUUACUGGGCGUAAAGCGUGUGUAGGCGGCCAUGCAAGUCGGAUGUGAAAGCCCUGGGCUCAACCCAGGAAGUGCACUCGAAACUGCGUGGCUUGAGUACUGGAGAGGUUGGUGGAAUUCUCGGUGUAGAGGUGAAAUUCGUAGAUAUCGAGAGGAACACCGGUGGCGAAGGCGGCCAACUGGACAGAUACUGACGCUGAGACACGAAAGCGUGGGGAGCAAACAG
rnacentral:rRNA from 1 species